rnacentral:rRNA from 1 species
CCUACGAUGAGCUGCAGUGAGGCAUCUUGGUCAAUGGGCGCGAGCCUGAACCAGCCAAGUAGCGUGAAGGAUGACUGCCCUACGGGUUGUAAACUUCUUUUAUAAAGGAAUAAAGUGAGGCACGUGUGCCUUUUUUUCUGUACUUUAUGAAUAAGGAUCGGCUCACUCCGUGCCAGCAGCCGCGGUAAUACGGAGGAUCCGAGCGUUAUCCGGAUUUAUUGGGUUUAAAGGGAGCGUAGAUGGGUUUUUAAGUCAGGUUUGAAAGUUUGCGGCUCAACCGUAAAAUUGCAAUUGAUACUGGCAGGCUUGAGUACAGUUGAGGUAGGCGGAAUUCGUGGUGUAGCGGUGAAAUGCUUAGAUAUCACGAAGAACUCCGAUUGCGAAGGCAGCUUACUAAACUGCAACUGACAUUGAUGCUCGAAAGUGUGGGUAUCAAACAGGAUUAGAUACCCUGGUAGUC